GACGAACGCUGGCGGCGUGCCUAACACAUGCAAGUCGAGCGGGAACCUCAGGAGGGGUAACCCUCCUGAGGGGAGAGCGGCGAACGGGUGAGUAACACGUGGGCAACCUGCCCCGGACACCGGGAUAACCCAGGGAAACCUGGGCUAAUACCGGAUACUCCGGCGAGAUCGCAUGGUCGCGCCGGGAAAGCUCCGACGGUCCGGGAUGGGCCCGCGGCCUAUCAGCUUGUUGGUGGGGUAACGGCCCACCAAGGCGACGACGGGUAGCUGGUCUGAGAGGACGGCCAGCAACACUGGGACGGGGACACGGCCAAGACUCCUACGGGAGGCAGCAGUGGGGGAUCUUGCGCUAAUGCGCGAAAGCGUGACUCAGCGACGCCGCGUGGGGGAUGAAGGCCCUCGGGUUGUAAACCCCUUUCGGCAGGGACGAAGCGAAAGUGACGGUACCUGCAGAAGAAGUCCCGGCUAACUACGUGCCAGCCGCCGCCGUAACAC
rnacentral:rRNA from 1 species